AAUUAUCAACCUUACCAGCUUUGUUGCUUGGUCUGGCUUGGAUGUGGGGGUUUUUGCAGGCUUUUCACAGUCAGCUCCCCUGAAAUGUAUUAGCGGUACCCUUGUGGUAAACGGCUAUUGGUGUGAUAACUAUCUACGCCAUUAGACGCCCACGUUAUAUAUGGGGGUCAUGCUGCUUCUAACAGUCCAUUGACUUGGACAGACUACAAAUGACAA
rnacentral:misc_RNA from 1 species